rfam:Aptenodytes forsteri contig51131, whole genome shotgun sequence.
GAUCAGUGAAGAACCUAUCCUGAACCUGAUUGAUUGCUUGAUGAAAAACACAUGUGAAUCUGACUUCUGAGUU